GCAGGGAUGGUUCAGUGGUAAAAUUCUUCCCUUCGAUGCAGGAGACCCAGGUCUGAAUCCUGGUCAAUACA
rnacentral:tRNA from 1 species